rnacentral:rRNA from 1 species
CCUACGGGAGGCAGCAGUGAGGAAUAUUGGUCAAUGGGCGCGAGCCUGAACCAGCCAAGUAGCGUGAAGGAUGACUGCCCUACGGGUUGUCAACUUCUUUUAUAAAGGCAUAAAGUGAGGCCCGUGUGCCUUUUUGUAUGUACUUUCUGAAUAAGGAUCGGCUAACCGCGGGCCAGCAGCCGCGGUAAUACGGAGGAUCCGAGCGUUAUCCGGAUAUAUUGGGUUUAAGGGGAGCGUAGAUGGGUUGUUAAGUCAGUUGUGAAAGUGUGCGGCUCAACCGUAAAAUUGCAAUUGAUACUGGCAGCCUUGAGUACAGUUGAGGUAGGCGGAAUUCGUGGUGUAGCGGUGAAAUGCUUAGAUAUCACGAAGAACUCCGAUUGCGAAGGCAGCCUACUAAACUGCCACUGACAUUGAUGCUCGAAAGUGUGGGUAUCAAACAGGAUUAGAUACCCGUGUAGUC